rnacentral:rRNA from 1 species
GACAGAGGGUGCAAACGUUGUUCGGAAUUACUGGGCGUAAAGCGUGUGUAGGCGGCCAAGCAAGUCGGAUGUGAAAGCCCAGGGCUCAACCCUGGAAGUGCACUCGAUACUGCAUGGCUAGAGUAUCGGAGAGGUUGGUGGAAUUCUCGGUGUAGAGGUGAAAUUCGUAGAUAUCGAGAGGAACACCGGCGGCGAAGGCGGCCAACUGGACGAAUACUGACGCUGAGACACGAAAGCGUGGGGAGCAAACAGG